AAUAAGCGGAGGAAAAGAAACCCACAGGGGAUUGCCCUAGAACGGCGAGUGAAGCGGCCAACAGCUCAAAUUUGAAAUCUGGCUUUGGCCCGAGUUGUAAUUUGCAGAGGAUGCUUCUGGCGCGGUGCCUCCUGAGUCCACUGGAAUGUGGCGCCACAGAGGGUGAGAGCCCCGUAUAGUUGGCCACCAAGCCUGUGUGAAGCUCCUUCGACGAGUCGAGUAGUUUGGGAAUGCUGCUCUAAAUGGGAGGUAAAUUCCUUCUAAAGCUAAAUAUUGGCCAGAGACCGAUAGCGCACAAGUAGAGUGAUCGAAAGAUGAAAAGCACUUUGAAAAGAGAGUCAAACAGCACGUGAAAUUGUUGAAAGGGAAGGAAUUGUGACCAGACUUGCGCCGUGGCGGAUCUCCCAGUGGUCUCACCGGUGCACUCCGUACGGGUUCAAGGCCAGCGUCGGUUUUUCGGCAGGGGGACAAAAGCGGAAGGGAAAUGUGGGCUUCCCCGGGAGCGUUAUAGCCCCGCCCGCAGAAUACCCCCGCCGAGGAACCAAAGACCGGCGCUCCUGCUACGGACGCUGGGCGGUAAUGGGUUAUUUAUUUCACCCGUCUUG
rnacentral:rRNA from 1 species